GAUGAAGAACGUAGCGAAAUGCGAUAAGUAAUGUGAAUUGCAGAAUUCAGUGAAUCAUCGAAUCUUUGAACGCGCAUUGCGCCCUCUGGUAUUCCGGGGGGCAUGCCUGUUCGAGCGUCAUUACAACCCUCAAGCUUUGCUUGGUAUUGGACAUUGCCAGUUUCUGGCAGGUCUUAAAAUCAGUGGCGGUGCCAUUUGGCUUCAAGCGUAGUAAUUCUUCUCGCUUUGGAGAUCCAAGUGGUUACUUGCCAAUAACCCCCAAUUUUUUCAGGUUGACCUCGGAUCAGGUAGGGAUACCCGCUGAACUUAAGCAUAUCAAUAAGCGGAGGA
rnacentral:misc_RNA from 1 species